CCUACGGGCGGCAGCAGUGGGGAAUAUUGCGCAAUGGGGGGAACCCUGACGCAGCCAUGCCGCGUGAAUGAAGAAGGCCUUCGGGUUGUAAAGUUCUUUCGGUAUUGAGGAAGGUUGAUGUGUUAAUAGUACAUCAAAUUGACGUUAAAUACAGAAGAAGCACCGGCUAACUCCGUGCCAGCAGCCGCGGCAAUACGGAGGGUGCGAGCGUUAAUCGGAAUAACUGGGCGUAAAGGGCACGCAGGCGGUUAUUUAAGUGAGGUGUGAAAGCCCCGGGCUUAACCUGGGAAUUGCAUUUCAGACUGGGUAACUAGAGUACUUUAGGGAGGGGUAGAAUUCCACGUGUAGCGGUGAAAUGCGUAGAGAUGUGGAGGAAUACCGAAGGCGAAGGCAGCCCCUUGGGAAUGUACUGACGCUCAUGUGCGAAAGCGUGGGGAGCAAACAGGAUUAGAUACCCCUGUAGUC
rnacentral:rRNA from 1 species